UGGGGAAUAUUGCACAAUGGAGGAAACUACUGAUGCAGCGACGCCGCGUGAGCGAUGAAGUAUUUCGGUAUGUAAAGCUCUAUCAGCAGGGAAGAUAAUGACGGUACCUGAGUAAGAAGCUCCGGCUAAAUACGUGCCAGCAGCCGCGGUAAUACGUAUGGAGCAAGCGUUAUCCGGAUUUACUGGGUGUAAAGGGAGUGUAGGCGGCUUUGCAAGUCAGAUGUGAACGCCCGGGGCUCAACCCCGGGACUGCAUUUGAAACUGUGAAGCUGGAGUGUCGGAGAGGUAAGUGGAAUUCCUAGUGUAGCGGUGAAAUGCGUAGAUAUU
rnacentral:rRNA from 1 species